GUGGGGAAUAUUGGACAAUGGGCGAAAGCCUGAUCCAGCCAUGCCGCGUGUGUGAAGAAGGUCUUCGGAUUGUAAAGCACUUUAAGUUGGGAGGAAGGGCAGUAAGUUAAUACCUUGCUGUUUUGACGUUACCAACAGAAUAAGCACCGGCUAACUUCGUGCCAGCAGCCGCGGUAAUACGAAGGGUGCAAGCGUUAAUCGGAAUUACUGGGCGUAAAGCGCGCGUAGGUGGUUCAGUAAGUUGGAAGUGAAAUCCCCGGGCUCAACCUGGGAACUGCCUCCAAAACUGCAUGACUAGAGUACGGUAGAGGGUAGUGGAAUUUCCUGUGUAGCGGUGAAAUGCGUAGAUAUAGGAAGGAACACCAGUGGCGAAGGCGACUACCUGGACUGAUACUGACACUGAGGUGCGAAAGCGUGGGGAGCAAACAGGAUUAGAAACCCCGGUAGUCC
rnacentral:rRNA from 1 species